CCUACGGGAGGCAGCAGUGGGGGAUAUUGCACAAUGGGGGGAACCCUGAUGCAGCGACGCCGCGUGGGUGAAGGAGCGUUUCGGCGCGUAAAGCCCUAUCGGCAGGGAAGAAGAUGACGGUACCUGACCAAGAAGCCCCGGCUAACUACGUGCCAGCAGCCGCGGUAAUACGUAGGGGGCAAGCGUUAUCCGGAUUUACUGGGUGUAAAGGGGGCGCAGACGGCAAUGCAAGCCAGGAGUGAAAGCCCGGGGCCCAACCCCGGGACUGCUCUUGGAACUGCAUGGCUGGAGUACAGGAGGGGCAG
rnacentral:rRNA from 1 species